GGGGCUGUAGUUAAGUUGGUUAUAACGCCGGCCUGUCACGUCGGAGGGCGCGGGUUCAAGUCCCGUCGGCCCCGCCA
rnacentral:tRNA from 1 species